UUCGCCCUUCGGGGUGCAGCAGGCGCGAAAACUCUACAAUGCAGGCAACUGCGAUAGGGGGACAUCGAGUGGCAUCCACCUUGGGUGCCUGUCCCACCGUCUAAAAAACGGUGGUUAGCAAGGGCCGGGCAAGACCGGUGCCAGCCGCCGCGGUAAUACCGGCGGCUCGAGUGGUGGCCGAUAUUAUUGAGUCUAAAGGGUCCGUAGCCGGCUUUGCAAGUCCCCUGGGAAAUCCAGCGGCUUAACCGUUGGGCUUUCAUGGGAUACUACAUUGCUUGGGACUGGGAGAGGUAGGAGGUACUCGGGGGGUAGGGGUGAAAUCCUGUAAUCCCCCGGGGACCACCGGUGGCAAAGGCGUCCUACCAUAACAGGUCCUACGGUGAGGGACUAAAGCUAGGGGCACGAACCGGAUUAGAUACCCGGGUAGUCCUAACCGUAAACGAUGCCCGCUAGGUGUCACGGCGGUCUUGAAUCUCCGUGCUGCCAUAAGGAAACCGCGAAACUCGCCACUUGCGAAUUACUGCCGCAAGGCUGAAACUUAUAGGAAUUGGGGGGGGACCAC
rnacentral:rRNA from 1 species